GUAUUGAACAUGUUGUGGAUAUGUGGUGGUAUUGAACAUGUUGUGGAUAUGUGGUGGUAUUGAACAUGUUGUGGAUAUGUGGUGGUAUUGAACAUGUUGUGGAUAUGUGGUGGUAUUGAACAUGUUGUGGAUAUGUGGUGGUAUUGAACAUGUUGUGGAUAUGUGGUGGUAUUGAACAUGUUGUGGAUAUGUGGUGGUAUUGAACAUGUUGUGGAUAUGUGGUGGUAUUGAACAUGUUGUGGAUAUGUGGUGGUAUUGAACAUGUUGUGUUGUGGAUAUGUGCUGGUAUUGAACAUGUUGUGGAUAUGUGGUGGCAUUGAACAUGUAGUGGAUAUGUGGUGGUAUUGAACAUGUUGUGGAUAUGUGGUGGUAUUGAACAUGUUGUGGAUAUGUGGUGGUAUUGAACAUGUUGUGGAUAUGUUGUGGUAUUAAACAUGUUGUGUUGUGGAUAUGUGGUGGUAUUGAACAUGUUGUGUUGUGGAUAUGUGGUGGUAUUGAUUAUGUUAUGGAUAUGUUGUGGUAUUGAACAUGUUGUGUUGUGGAUAUGUGGAGGUAUUGAACAUGUUGUGGAUAUGUGGUGGUAUUGAACAUGUUGUGGAUAUGUGGUGGUAUUGAACAUGUUGUGUUGUGGAUAUGUGGUGGUAUUGAUUAUGUUAUGGAUAUGUUGUGGUAUUGAACAUGUUGUGGAUAUGUUGUGGUAUUGAACAUGUUGUGCUGUGGAUAUGUGGUGGUAUUGAUUAUGUUGUGGAUAUGUGGUGGCAUUGAACAUGUAGUGGAUAUGUGGUGGUAUUGAACAUGUUGUGGUUAUGUGGUGGUAUUGAACAUGUUGUGGAUAUGUGGUGGUAUUGAACAUGUUGUGGAUAUGUGGUGGUAUUGAACAUGUUGUGUUGUGGAUAUGUGCUGGUAUUGAACAUGUUGUGGAUAUGUUGUGGUAUUAAACAUGUUGUGUUGUGGAUAUGCGUUUGUAUUGAACAUUUUGUGGCAUUGAACAUGUUGUGGAUAUGUGGUGUUAUUGAACAUGUUGUGCUGUGGAUAUGUGGUGGUAUUGAUUAUGUUGUGGAUAUGUGGUGGUAUUGAACAUGUGGUGGAUAUGUGGUGGUAUUGAACAUGUUGUGGUAUGUGGUGGCAUUGAACAUGUAGUGGAUAUGUGGUGGUAUUGACCAUGUUGUGGAUAUGUGGUGGUAUUGAACAUGUUGUGGAUAUGUUGUGGUAUUAAACAUGUUGUGUUGUGGAUAUGUGGUGGUAUUGAUUAUGUUAUGGAUAUGUUGUGGUAUUGAUUAUGUUGUGGAUAUGUGGUGGCAUUGAACAUGUAGUGGAUAUGUGGUGGUAUUGAACAUGUUGUGGAUAUGUGGUGGUAUUGAACAUGUUGUGGAUAUGUGGUGGUAUUGAACAUGUUGUGGAUAUGUUGUGGUAUUAAACAUGUUGUGUUGUGGAUAUGUGGUGGCAUUGAACAUGUAGUGGAUAUGUGGUGGUAUUGAACAUGUUGUGGAUAUGUGGAGGUAUUGAAC
ensembl:lncRNA